GGGGGAUAUUGCACAAUGGAGGAAACUCUGAUGCAGCAACGCCGCGUGAGGGAAGACGGUUUUCGGAUUGUAAACCUCUGUCCUUGGUGACGAAAAAAAUGACGGUAGCCAAGGAGGAAGCUCCGGCUAACUACGUGCCAGCAGCCGCGGUAAUACGUAGGGAGCAAGCGUUGUCCGGAUUUACUGGGUGUAAAGGGUGCGUAGGCGGCACUGCAAGUCAGGCGUGAAAUAUAUGGGCUCAACCUCCAAACUGCAUUUGAAACUACUUUUCUUGAGUAACGGGAGGGGAAUCGGGAUUCCUUGUGUAGCGGGGAAAUGCGUAGAUAAAAGGAAGGACACCAGUGGCGAAGGCGGAUUACCGGACGACAACUUACGGUGAGGCGCGAAAGCGUGGGGAGCAAACA
rnacentral:rRNA from 1 species